rnacentral:rRNA from 1 species
AGUCGAGGGGUAUUAGGAGCUUGCUCCUAAGAGACCGGCGCACGGGUGCGUAACGCGUAUGCAAUCUACCUUAUACAGGGGAAUAGCCCAGAGAAAUUUGGAUUAAUGCCCCAUGGUAUUAUAGAGUGGCAUCACUUUAUAAUUAAAGUUCCAACGGUAUAAGAUGAGCAUGCGUCCCAUUAGUUAGUUGGUAAGGUAACGGCUUACCAAGACAAUGAUGGGUAGGGGUCCUGAGAGGGAGAUCCCCCACACUGGUACUGAGACACGGACCAGACUCCUACGGGAGGCAGCAGUGAGGAAUAUUGGACAAUGGGCGCAAGCCUGAUCCAGCCAUGCCGCGUGCAGGAAGACGGUCCUAUGGAUUGUAAACUGCUUUUAUACAGGAAGAAACAACUCUACGUGUAGAGUCUUGACGGUACUGUAGGAAUAAGGAUCGGCUAACUCCGUGCCAGCAGCCGCGGUAAUACGGAGGAUCCAAGCGUUAUCCGGAAUCAUUGGGUUUAAAGGGUCCGUAGGCGGUCUUAUAAGUCAGUGGUGAAAUCUCCUAGCUCAACUAGGAAACUGCCAUUGAUACUGUAAGACUUGAAUUUUUGUGAAGUAACUAGAAUAUGUAGUGUAGCGGUGAAAUGCUUAGAUAUUACAUGGAAUACCAAUUGCGAAGGCAGGUUACUAACAAACGAUUGACGCUGAUGGACGAAAGCGUGGGGAGCGAACAGGAUUAGAUACCCUGGUAGUCCACGCCGUANACGAUGGAUACUAGCUGUUCGGAGCAAUCUGAGUGGCUAAGCGAAAGUGAUAAGUAUCCCACCUGGGGAGUACGCACGCAAGUGUGA